UUCCUUGUCGGGUAAGUUCCGACCCGCACGAAUAGCGUAACGACAGCCAUACUGUCUCCACGAAGGACUCGGCGAAAUUGUGGUCGUGGUGAAGACGCCACGUUCCCGCACCAAGACGGAAAGACCCCGUGAACCUUUACUAUAACCUAAUACUGGCUCUAGGUUUGUCAUGUGUAGCAUAGGUGGGAGACGUUGAUGUCGGCGGCGCCAGCCGUCGAAUAGUCACCGGUGAAAUACCACUCUUGGCAUAUUUGGAGUCUAACCUGUGACCGUUAUCCGGCAUGGGAACAGUGUUAGGCGGGUAGUUUGACUGGGGCGGUCUCCUCCUAAAGAGUAGCGGAGGAGUGCAAAGGUACACUCAGAGCGGUUGGUAAUCGCUUGUAGAGCGUAAAGGUAUAAGUGUGCUUGACUGCGAGACAUAUAGGUCGAGCAGGUACGAAAGUAGGUCUUAGUGAUCCGGUGGUCCCGUGUGGAAGGGCCAUCGCUCAUCAGAUAAAAGGUACUCCGGGGAUAACAGGCUGAUCACGCCCAAG
rnacentral:rRNA from 1 species